GUGUGUGUGUGUGUGUGUGUGUGUGUGUGUGUGUGUGUGUGUGUGUGUGUGUGUGUGUGUGUGUGUGUGUGUGAGUGUCACAAUACCAGAGUUUUACCCUGCAUUACUACACCAUACCAGUUAUCUUUACAUUUAUUAGAAUUCCAUUGCACUUGCCAAAGAAAACAGAAAAAGCAUAAAGAAAAUGGUUGACAAUUUAACUCAAUCUCAACCAAAACCUAUUUAAAAGUUUAAAUGAAUCAUCUUAGAAUGUGUGACAAAACGCACGCACGCGAGCACACAUGUACAUACAUACGUCAACCUCAGGACAUGAAGUGAAGAAUGUUGUUGUAAACUCUCCUCAAUUUAUAUUGACUUUUUUAUGUUUUAUUAAUAGCCAUUGAUUUUGUGUGCCAGGCUAAAAGAAGUGCCUUUGAGGAUAUGCUGUUCUGUGUUAGUUAACAUAGUAUUAGUAACCCUGCAUAUAAUUGAAGAGAUGCCCCUUUCCAACACAUAACACAUUUGUACUUUUCAGAUGCCAAAAUUCGGAUUUUUCUCAUUUAAAGGUUAUUUGCUAAUUCAUUUCUCUGUGCAAAACAUUUGAAUUCGGAUUGAAUUAAGAGGAAUUUCAUUGGUCACCCGGCAACAAAUGAGCUAACCAGUAACACACUGUUGAACCACCUGAUCAUACCUGUCAUUGUCCAUCUUCCUUUCAGGUAGGACAGUAGAAUCUAAUAUAGACUUGUGUUUAGAUAAGUGCCUUCAUGUUAAGACCUACAGCCUUACAGCUACGUAAGACUAGAGAAACUGCUAAGAAGCUUACUACACUUUAUGCUACACUGGGUUAAAAGUGGCAAAUUGUUUCAAGCAGCUGUUCUCAAGGACAUGCUAGAAAGUGUGCCUUUUUGUGAUAUAUUCAAGCACAAGAAAAUGUAGUAUUAGACAGGUGCCUUAAUAGGUUUCUCCAAUGGAGAACUGCCAAAACACAGCCACGCCUUAUUGGUCAUAUAUACCAGCCAGUAAAAGUAGUGCCUUCUGAAUGCUCCAACUGUCCAAACAAAUACUAUGCUGCUUGCAUAUUCAGCUGAACUCAUUAGCCUUUAAUAAACUCUUCUGUUUAGUCAUACUGUCAUUUUUUCCCCACUUGAUUGAUGCAAAGUACUUCUCACAUGUGAUAUUUUAGUUUUAUUGCACCUCUAACAAUAGCUUUUUGUAAUCUAUUAUAUGUAGAUCUAACCUUAAGGAGACUGUGUAUAGUAUUUUUUGUUUUGGAGAUCACUGCUGUUCAGCAUCAUGCGUUCUUGAGUGUAGAGAAAAACUUUGUUGGGCAAUGACCGUGUUAUACACCAACACUGGAUGAUUGCAUUCUGUUGCCUCCAACUCUAUUAAAAUAAAUGUAUUUUAAUGAGAUAAACAA